GUGGGGAAUAUUGGACAAUGGUCGGAAGACUGACCCAGCCAUGCCGCGUGCAGGAAGACGGCCCUCUGGGUUGUAAACUGCUUUUAUCUGGGAAGAAAAAGGCCAUGCGUGGCAAAUUGCCGGUACCAGAUGAAUAAGCACCGGCUAACUCCGUGCCAGCAGCCGCGGUAAUACGGAGGGUGCGAGCGUUGUCCGGAUUUAUUGGGUUUAAAGGGUGCGUAGGCGGCUGAUUAAGUCAGCGGUGAAAGACUUCGGCUUAACCGGAGCAGUGCCGUUGAUACUGGUUGGCUUGAGUGUCGGAGGGGUACAUGGAAUUGAUGGUGUAGCGGUGAAAUGCAUAGAUACCAUCAGGAACACCGAUAGCGAAGGCAUUGUACUGGCCGACAACUGACGCUGAUGCACGAAAGUGUGGGGAUCGAACAGGAUUAGAUACCCCUGUAGUCC
rnacentral:rRNA from 1 species